UAAUCAGUUGUUGUAUUCGACUGUAUUCAUGGCGUGAAACAUAACACUAUUUUUGAACGGAAAGUGAAUCAAUUAACAUAAUAGACUCUU
rnacentral:pre_miRNA from 1 species